CCUACGGGCGGCAGCAGUGGGGAAUAUUGGACAAUGGGCGAAAGCCUGAUCCAGCCAUGCCGCGUGUGUGAAGAAGGCCUUCGGGUUGUAAAGCACUUUCAGUGGGGAAGAAAGCCUUGGGGCUAAUACCCUCGAGGAAGGACAUCACCCACAGAAGAAGCACCGGCUAACUCCGUGCCAGCAGCCGCGGUAAUACGGAGGGUGCGAGCGUUAAUCGGAAUUACUGGGCGUAAAGCGCGCGUAGGCGGUCUGAUAAGCCGGUUGUGAAAGCCCCGGGCUCAACCUGGGAACGGCAUCCGGAACUGUCAGGCUAGAGUGCAGGAGAGGAAGGUAGAAUUCCCGGUGUAGCGGUGAAAUGCGUAGAGAUCGGGAGGAAUACCAGUGGAGAAGGCGGCCUUCUGGACUGACACUGACGCUGAGGUGCGAAAGCGUGGGUAGCAAACAGGAUUAGAUACCCUAGUAGUC
rnacentral:rRNA from 1 species